UACGUAGGGUGCAAGCGUUGUCCGGAAUUAUUGGGCGUAAAGAGCUCGUAGGUGGUUUGUCGCGUUGUCCGUGAAAACUCACAACUCAAUUGUGGGCGUGCGGGCGAUACGGGCAGACUGGAGUACUGCAGGGGAGACUGGAAAUUCCUGGUGUAGCGGUGGAAUGCGCAGAUAUCAGGAGGAACACCGGUGGCGAAGGCGGGUCUCUGGGCAGUAACUGACGCUGAGGAGCGAAAGCGUGGGGAGCGAACAGG
rnacentral:rRNA from 1 species